rnacentral:rRNA from 1 species
GACGAACGCUGGCGGCGUGCUUAACACAUGCAAGUCGAACGAGUGGCGAACGGGUGAGUAAUACGUGAGUAAACUGCCCUCUUUUUGGGAUAAGCCUUGGAAACGGGGUCUAAUACCGGAUAAAGGGGGAUGGGCUCGCGGCCGAUCAGCCUGGUGGUGGGGUGAUGGCCUACCAAGGCGGUGACGGGUAGCAGGCCUGAGAGGUUGGCCGGCCACAUUGGGACUGCGCUGCGGCCCCGACUCCUACGUGGUGCAGCAGUGGGGGUUAUUGCACAAUGGGCGAAAGCCUGAUGCAGCGACUCCGCGUGGGGGCUGAAGGCUUUCGGGUUGUAAACCUCUUUCGCUAUCGAAGGGUAGGUGGAGAAGAAGCGCCGGCUAACUCCGUGCCAGCAGCCGCGGUAAUUC